rnacentral:rRNA from 1 species
GAUGAACGCUAGCGGCAGGCCUAAUACAUGCAAGUCGAACGGUGGCAGCAAUGUCAUAGUGGCGCACGGGUGCGUAACACGUAACUAACCUACCCACCAUUGGGGGAUAGCCCGCCGAAAGGCGGAUUAAUACCGCAUAACACUAUAAAACGGCAUCGUUUAGUAGUUAAAGAUUUAUUGAUGGUGGAUGGGGUUGCGGGUCAUUAGCUAGUUGGUUGGGUAAUGGCUGACCAGGGCGACGAUGACUAGGGGAGCUGAGAGGCUGGUCCCCCACACGGGCACUGAGAUACGGGCCCGACUCCUACGGGAGGCAGCAGUAGGGAAUAUUGGGCAAUGGGCGAGAGCCUGACCCAGCCAUGCCGCGUGCAGGAAGAAGGCUUUCUGAGUCGUAAACUGCUUUUGACAGGGAAGAAUAAGGUGUACGUGUACACUGAUGACGGUACCUGCAGAAUAAGCACCGGCUAACUCCGUGCCAGCAGCCGCGGUAAUACGGAGGGUGCGAGCGUUGUCCGGAUUUAUUGGGUUUAAAGGGUGCGUAGGCGGCCUUGUAAGUCCGGGGUGAAAGCCCGUUGCUCAACAACGGAACUGCCCUGGAUACUGCGAGGCUUGAGUACAGACGAGGUUGGC